GAUAGAUUACGGUAUGGAGCAUGGGGCGCGCGUCUACUGAAUUAUAACAGAAUUAUAAUUCUAAAUUUGUUUUUCUUUUCUCUGAAUGUUCAUCUCUUUCUUUCUACUAAUCCACCCCUCUCUCUCUCUCUCUCUCCAUUUUACAACACAAACCCUAAAAUAUGUUCAACACCGGCGGCGGUGGCCUUCUUCUUUCUCUACAGCAUAACAAUAACAAAUCGAAACCCCCCAAGUAAACCCCAAACCGUGAUUUCAACAAACCUUAACCCAAAUUCCCUAUCUCGAAUACCUGAUCUCCAAUAUUCCAAAAAGCUAAGUGUGCUUUUUUUGGUAGUAGGUCCGACAAGUGAUGAUCGGGAACGACGACUUGAUGCGGCGACUUGGAGUAUGGAGGAUACGGUUGUGCGUUGGAAGUUGAUGGAGAGGCCUCGCAGUGGCGCGGCGGGUGCGUGGGUAGCCGGAGGUCGUGCGGCCGGAGCUUCGCGGUGGCUUGCGAAAGGUACGUCAAGAACGGAGGCCGCUGAUGAGUGA